AUGACUAGGGAUAACCUUAGGAAGAGACACAUCAUCAAACCCCUUGAUUGUGUUUACUGCUUGGAACAAGAGUCUUGUUCUCACCUAUUUUCUGAAUGUAUAGUUGCUAAACAUCUCUGGGCCCACAUUGAGGAAUAUUUCUCUAGUCAGAUUGGCUCAUCCUUCGAAUCUGUUGCCAGAUUCUGGAUUGCUACCAAAAAGUGCUCAGUUUUAAACACUGUUAGCUUAGCUGUCCUUUGGUGCCUCUGGAAAUAUAGAAAUGCUAUGAUUUUCAGUAACACCUCCUGGAUUUCCAUUCCGCAGGUCUUGAGGUUGAUCAGGAACAUGGUGAGGAACUAG
rnacentral:rRNA from 1 species